rnacentral:rRNA from 1 species
GUAGGGAAUAUUGGGCAAUGGAUGCAAGUCUGACCCAGCCAUCCCGCGUGCCGGAAGAAGGCCCUCAGGGUUGUAAACGGCUUUUGACGGUGAAGAAUCGACAGGAUGCGUCCUGUUUUGACGGUAGCCGUUGAAUAAGCACCGGCUAACUCCGUGCCAGCAGCCGCGGUAAUACGGAGGGUGCGAGCGUUGUCCGGAUUUAUUGGGUUUAAAGGGUGCGUAGAGUGGAAGGUCAGUCAGCGGUGAAAAGCUGUCGCUUAACGAUAGUCUUGCCGCAGAUACUUCCUUUCUUGGAUGAGGAGGAGGCCACUGGAACGGAUGGUGUAGCGGUGAAAUGCAUAGAUAGCAUCCAGAACACCGAUUGCGAAGGCAGGUGGCUGUACCUUAAUCGACGCUGAUGCACGAAAGCAUGGGGAGCAAACAGGAUUAGAAACCCUAGUAGUCC